rnacentral:rRNA from 1 species
GACGGAGGAUGCAAGUGUUAUCCGGAAUCACUGGGCGUAAAGCGUCUGUAGGUGGUUUAAUAAGUCAACUGUUAAAUCUUGAGGCUCAACUUCAAAAUCGCAGUCGAAACUAUUAGACUAGAGUAUAGUAGGGGUAAAGGGAAUUUCCAGUGGAGCGGUGAAAUGCGUAGAGAUUGGAAAGAACACCAAUGGCGAAAGCACUUUACUGGGCUAUCACUGACACUGAGAGACGAAAGCUAGGGGUAGCAAAUGGG